rnacentral:misc_RNA from 1 species
AAUAUUAUUUUCGCUAUUUAAUAUAAGUUGAUAUUUAUAAAAAAGUUAAGUUAAAGAGUAGUUUUCAAUACCCAAGCUAUGAUACGGAAUAAUGAUAUAUAUUACUAUUAUUACAUUAAAUGAUUUUAAAAAAAUGGAAGAAAACCCAUCAGGCGUUAUUUUGACUCUUCAAAAAGAUGAGAUUGAUUCCAAUGAAAUGGAGGUGAUCAAGCUUAAGAAAGAAUUGGCAAGAGUUGAAGCUGUCUGUGAGAGGUAUGAGAGAUACAAUGAAGAUCUUCAACAACAAGUAGAAAAAAUGAGUUGUCAACUACAAGAAUGGAGACAAAAAAUCUUAGGUGAAAGAAACUGUGCUGAAAAUCAAACAGAAAUGAAAACACCAUCUUUAAAGAAACUGUGUCUUAAUGGAGAUAGCUCUCCUUGUCUUUGUCCCUGUCAUCUAAAAGAAAUAUCUUUAUUAGAUGUUAGCACACAAACUUUUGAGAGUGACUUUAUGGGUAUAGAUGAACAAGGUUCAGUUGAAGAUUGGACUCUUCCAGAAGGAUCCAGAGCUUCUGUGGCUGAUCUAGUCAAACAAGCUGCCAGUGAAGCACUACAGUCUUCAGAGUAUGUGUAUGACAUCAAUUCAAGCAUGUACUAUAGCAUCAACACUGGGUAUUAUUAUGAUCCUGUAAGCACUUUGUUUUAUGAGCCUUACUCUGGAUCUUAUUACAUGUAUGAUGAAGCAACAAAGUCCUACCACUUUCACUCACAAGUUGCCCUGUCUGAGCAUGAAGCUAGUCAUAAAAGACACCAUCAAAUAUCUCACAAAAUUGCUCCUUCUGGAGAAGGAAAUAGCCAUUCAGAAGAGACUGAUAACACCUCUAACCAGAAACUACAUUCUGAAAUGUCAGAAAUGACCCAUAGGUAUCUCCAAACAAAUUAUAGAAAGAGGACAAGAAAAAAGCUUAAAACUCAGGGAAAAAAUCCAAAACUUGAGCAAGGGGAUGCAAACAUUGCAAGAAAAGAAAUAAAUGAUGAUACAAAGAUGGUGGGAUCAGGAGAUUCAAGCAGUAGUAGUUCAAUAGAAGAGGGGGAGCUUGAAGACACAAAUUCUGAGUUAUCGGGUUCAGAAAACUCAGAGACUGAAAGUGAUAUAACUAAAUCUGUUUCUGAGGAUGAGGAACAGUGUGAUUCAUUGCCACCUUGUAUACGACUAAUAGUAGUUAACUCAGAAAAUUUACUCGAAGGAAGCCUUUUGAUGGUAACAUGUACUGGAGCAACAGUUGGUCGAGAAGAGAAAAAUGGUCUUUGUAUUCCAGAUUCUUCUGUUAGUAAGGAACAUGCAGAAAUCAGUUUUGAAGAGAUUCAUGAAAGAUACAUGAUUCGAGACCUUGGGAGCCAGAAUGGAACAUUCAUCAAUUUUAUUCGUCUUUCGGAGCCUAAGCAGCCAAGUGACUUACAUCCUUUGAACCAUGGUGAUGAGUUAAAAAUCGGAAAUUCUACUUUACUAAUACACAUUCAUCAAAACAAAGAGACUUGUGAUGAAUGUGAGCCAGGGCUUGUUCAAGCUGCAUUAGCUGCCCAAAAAUCAACAUUGAAAGACCGAUGGAUCAUAAAAUCUAAAGAAGAGAAAGAAAAAGAGCGAAGAAAGGAAUUGAAGGAACUUAAAAGGAAAUUUGGACUUGAGUUACCAGAUGAAACAGUCAAACACUGUGGAAAAGUUAGGAUAUCAGGAUCGUGCUGAACACAGGAGGAAGACUAAGGGUAGUGACAACCCUCAUGAGAAAGAUGCUACACCAGCUUCCAUGGACCAACCACUUCCUCCAGAAAAUAAAGGAUUUCAACUUCUUAAGAAAAUGGGAUGGUCUGAAGGACAGAGUUUGGGUAAAUGUCAAACAGGAAAGACAGAGCCA